rnacentral:rRNA from 1 species
AGCGAACGCUGGCGGCAGGCUUAACACAUGCAAGUCGAGCGGGCACCUUCGGGUGUCAGCGGCAGACGGGUGAGUAACACGUGGGAACGUACCCUUCGGUUCGGAAUAACGCUGGGAAACUAGCGCUAAUACCGGAUACGCCCUUAUGGGGAAAGGUUUACUGCCGAAGGAUCGGCCCGCGUCUGAUUAGCUAGUUGGUGGGGUAACGGCCUACCAAGGCGACGAUCAGUAGCUGGUCUGAGAGGAUGAUCAGCCACACUGGGACUGAGACACGGCCCAGACUCCGACGGGAGGCAGCAGUGGGGAAUAUUGGACAAUGGGCGCAAGCCUGAUCCAGCCAUGCCGCGUGAGUGAUGAAGGCCUUAGGGUUGUAAAGCUCUUUUGUCCGGGACGAUAAUGACGGUACCGGAAGAAUAAGCCCCGGCUAACUUCGU